UGCCAGCCGCCGCGGUAACACGGGGGGCGCAAGCGUUAUUCGGAAUUAUUGGGCGUAAAGGGCGCGUAGGCGGCCCGGCAAGCCAAGGGUGAAAUCCCGGAGCUCAACUCCGGAACUGUUCUUGGAACUGCCGAGCUUGAGAUGGUUAGAGGCGGGUGGAAUUCCUGGUGUAGAGGUGAAAUUCGUAGAUAUCAGGAGGAACACCGGAGGCGAAGGCGACCCGCUGGAGCCAUUCUGACGCUGAGGCGCGAAAGCGUGGGGAGCGAACGGGAUUAGAUA
rnacentral:rRNA from 1 species